GGGCAAUCUGCCCUUCACUCUGGGACAAGCCCUGGAAACGGGGUCUAAUACCGGAUAACACCGGCUUCCGCAUGGGAGCUGGUUAAAAGCUCCGGCGGUGAAGGAUGAGCCCGCGGCCUAUCAGCUUGUUGGUGGGGUAAUGGCCUACCAAGGCGACGACGGGUAGCCGGCCUGAGAGGGCGACCGGCCACACUGGGACUGAGACACGGCCCAGACUCCUACGGGAGGCAGCAGUGGGGAAUAUUGCACAAUGGGCGAAAGCCUGAUGCAGCGACGCCGCGUGAGGGAUGACGGCCUUCGGGUUGUAAACCUCUUUCAGCAGGGAAGAAGCGAAAGUGACGGUACCUGCAGAAGAAGCGCCGGCUAACUACGUGCCAGCAGCCGCGGUAAUACGUAGGGCGCAAGCGUUGUCCGGAAUUAUUGGGCGUAAAGAGCUCGUAGGCGGCUUGUCACGUCGGGUGUGAAAGCCCGGGGCUUAACCCCGGGUCUGCAUCCGAUACGGGCAGGCUAGAGUGUGGUAGGGGAGAUCGGAAUUCCUGGUGUAGCGGUGAAAUGCGCAGAUAUCAGGAGGAACACCGGUGGCGAAGGCGGAUCUCUGGGCCAUUACUGACGCUGAGGAGCGAAAGCGUGGGGAGCGAACAGGAUUAGAUACCCUGGUAGUCCACGCCGUAAACGUUGGGAACUAGGUGUUGGCGACAUUCCACGUCGUCGGUGCCGCAGCUAACGCAUUAAGUUC
rnacentral:rRNA from 1 species